AGAGUUUGAUCAUGGCUCAGAUUGAACGCUGGCGGCAGGCUUAACACAUGCAAGUCGAGCGGGGAAGAGUAGCUUGCUACUUGACCUAGCGGCGGACGGGUGAGUAAUGCUUAGGAAUCUGCCUAUUAGUGGGGGACAACAUCUCGAAAGGGAUGCUAAUACCGCAUACGUCCUACGGGAGAAAGCAGGGGACCUUCGGGCCUUGCGCUAAUAGAUGAGCCUAAGUCGGAUUAGCUAGUUGGUGGGGUAAAGGCCUACCAAGGCGACGAUCUGUAGCGGGUCUGAGAGGAUGAUCCGCCACACUGGGACUGAGACACGGCCCAGACUCCUACGGGAGGCAGCAGUGGGGAAUAUUGGACAAUGGGGGGAACCCUGAUCCAGCCAUGCCGCGUGUGUGAAGAAGGCCUUUUGGUUGUAAAGCACUUUAAGCGAGGAGGAGGCUACCGAGAUUAAUACUCUUGGAUAGUGGACGUUACUCGCAGAAUAAGCACCGGCUAACUCUGUGCCAGCAGCCGCGGUAAUACAGAGGGUGCAAGCGUUAAUCGGAUUUACUGGGCGUAAAGCGCGCGUAGGUGGCCAAUUAAGUCAAAUGUGAAAUCCCCGAGCUUAACUUGGGAAUUGCAUUCGAUACUGGUUGGCUAGAGUAUGGGAGAGGAUGGUAGAAUUCCAGGUGUAGCGGUGAAAUGCGUAGAGAUCUGGAGGAAUACCGAUGGCGAAGGCAGCCAUCUGGCCUAAUACUGACACUGAGGUGCGAAAGCAUGGGGAGCAAACAGGAUUAGAUACCCUGGUAGUCCAUGCCGUAAACGAUGUCUACUAGCCGUUGGGGCCUUUGAGGCUUUAGUGGCGCAGCUAACGCGAUAAGUAGACCGCCUGGGGAGUACGGUCGCAAGACUAAAACUCAAAUGAAUUGACGGGGAAGGGCGAAUUCGCGGCCGCUAAAUUCAAUUCGCCCUAUAGUGAGUCGUAUUA
rnacentral:rRNA from 1 species